rnacentral:lncRNA from 1 species
UCACCAUAAGCUUUUGAUAGGGCUUUUGUCUUUCCCUUUCUCAUACAUUUUUCUGUCCUAGAGAAAGUGGGAGAUUUAAAAAUUAUGUAUUCUGUCUUUGCUUGGGUACUGUGAAGUCAGGUAUAUUUGUAGAGUUGGGUUAGCGAGGUAGUGACAAUUUCCUUUUAAAGAUGUAUAUCUUCUUUCUCCCCAAUUCUUUCCAAAGAAAUUACUGAUGCUGAGGAAGAUCCUGAGGAUAAAGCAACAAACGCAGUCUGGAACCAGUGACAUUAAAGACCUGAACCCUGCACCUCAUCUUGGGACAAUUCUAAGGGCUACCUGAGUUCCACAUAUUAUCAAGGACUCAGCUGAAUCUUUUGGGAGCGGUUAUGGACAACCUAAGGUAAUAACUGGAUCCAUAAAGAUGGAAGAAAGAAUGACUGAGCAGGGAUGGUCUUCAUUCUAACCGAAGGUAAUGGGAAAUCAAAGUUAGUUACAAUAAAACUCAUGGGAAUGGGAGAGAAAUAAACAGCAGUCAAUCUUUUUAGUUAUAGAGGGGUUGUGCUUUGAUAUGAUUCAAAACCUAAACCUAACCUGUAUUUUAUGUCAAAAGUUGAUAGGACCUUUCAGUGUUGGACACUCAAUUCUGACUUUACGGACUUCCCAAUACUGGAAAAAGAAUGUGUGAAAUUCCAUUUUGGUAUUUUCCACAGUGGUACUUUCCCAUGUUUCCUAACAGCUGAAGCCUGUAAUCUACCCUCCCCUCCAGCACAUCAUUUGCUUCCCAGGAGCUCACAAGAUUGAGGCCAUAUGGGUGCAUAUCCUUAAAUUCCCCCAUGGUCACUCCACAAUCUUCUUUGAGUGGCCUUUUUACUUUCUUUUGUCCAAUAUUAAUGUGUUUCAUCCCCUUCAUCCAAGCUUUUUGAAGGAAGUGACAUCUCAUUCUUUUUCUUUUUUUUUGAGACAGAGUCUUGCUCUGUUGCCCAGGCUGGAGUGCAGUCAUGUGAUCUUGGCUCGCCACAACCUCUGCCUCCCGGGUUCAAGCGAUUCUCCUGCCUCAGCCUCCUGAGUAGCUGGGACUACAGGUGCGCGCCACCAUGCCCGGCUAAUUUUUGGAUUUUUAGUAGAGACAGGGUUUCACUAUGUUGGCCAAGCUGGUCUCAAACUCCUGACCUCAUGAUUCGUGCCUGCUUCAGCCUCCCAAAGUGCUGGGAUUACAUGUGUGAGCCACCAAGCCCAUCUCAUUCAUUUUUAUAGGUCCAAUAGGCCAAGUAUAGUGCCAUGAACAUAAUUUGCACUUAACAAAAGUCAUUAAGUAGGUAGACUUGAAUGUUUCAGUCCAGUUUAUUAGUAUUUUCAAAAUCUGGGCAGAAUUAGGAUGUACAUGUUGAAAUGAAAGAGGAAAUAGUCAUUAUUCAGGUUUUGUUGACUUCCACAGAGGCUCUUGAGAAUCAAAAGUUAAGGCAUGGGGGGAACCAAAGCCAGAGUUCAAGUCCUAAUGCUAGAUUAGAACAAGAACAGAGAAAGAGGCUAAUCACUCCAGCCACCUGGUAGAUGAGGGUCACUUGGCUAGUGCAGUGAGUCACUGAAGUACAAUCUGUCACCCUCUCCCUUUCUUUACUUCCCCUACUCUUUCUUUCUGUCACCCUCUUCCUCCCCUCCACUCCCUUCCCCUCCCUCCCUCCCUGCUUCCCUACUUCCUUCCUUCGAGUGGCCUUUUUACUUUCUUUUAUCCAAUAUUAAUGUGUUUAGUCCCAGCUUUUUGAAGGAAGUGACAUCUCAUUCUUUUCUUUUCUUUUUUUUUUUUUGAGACAGAGUCUUGCUCUGUUGCCUAGGCUGAAGUGAAGUAGUGUGAUCUCGGCUCGCCACAACCUCUGCCUCCCAGGUUCAAGCGAUUCUCCUGCCUCAGCCUCCCGAGUAGCUGGAACUAUAGGUCAUCUAGGGGAAAACAGAAGUAUGAGGAUUGAGACUUCUUCUGAAAAUCAGUGAGUGGCUCUCUGCAGUGGUUACAGAAAUGCCCCAGCAUGGACUCCCUCCUGUAAACUGGCUCUGCUGUCCCAGCAGUGACGGAAAGCACUCAAUUUGUUUUCUCUUGGAAGAGACAGAGUGGCUGUCAGUUUACUGCAAUAUUUUGGACUGCCUGGAAAAUUCAAUGUACAACAGGAGAAAGGAGAGGCAGGAGACAGACUCUGGAAUAGAAGUCAAAGACAAAGAGGCUCGUAAACAUCAAGAUUCUGGGGCUAAUCUAGCCAUUCACAGCUUUAGAACCAUGGACAGUAAAACUUAAAAUAUAUACUAUGUUCUAACCACCACAAGGUUAUUCACUCUAGCAACUAAAAAAGCACUGGCCUCAGGAUUUGCAACAUUAAAAGUCACAGCUCAUCCACCAUCAGAUGCUAACUGACCCUGCUGUUCCACAAGCCAUAACUACAGCUUUGAUUGGACAAGAGUCUGGUUUCAGUAACUUUCUCCUGAUUAAGAAGACCACUGACCAUUGACUGGUUUUGCCAGUUUACAGAGAUUACACACUUACCUACCUUUGUAUGUAAAAUGAUCUUUUGAUAUAUAAAGCAUAACUGUAGCACAUUUAAAUGUUAAGUAGCCACCCCAAAGUGAACAUGGGUCAUAUGUUACGUGCAUGUUUGUUCAAUAGGCAUGUGUCAGGACCACCUUCAUGAAUAUUCAUAGCUCCUCCUGUAACCAGUUAAAUAUAUAUGUUUAGCCAACCUCUUCAGCAUAAAGCUCCCACCCCAAGCCCUCCUUUGAAGGGCCUGUCUCUAGUUUUGCCUGGAUGGCCACCUUGCAGGCUGUAACCCUUUGGAAGAAA